rnacentral:misc_RNA from 1 species
AAUGCUUUUAUCUACUUGACUGGGUAAAACUUCUCUAGCAAUUAUUGUCCUCCAGUAUUAUUAUUAUUAUUAUUUGGCAUAAUCACAACAAAAUUUAAAAAAAUCAAAUUUGUUCACAUUUUCAAUUUUAUUCAAUUUUAGCCAAGAUUUUAAUUUUAUUAAUUUUAAGUUAACCUGAUCAUAUUGGUAUCAUUUUUGGUCAAUUAAGUAAGAAUUGGAACCUAUGCAUAAAACAAGCAUAACUACUUUAGUGGGAAAAACCAAG